CACAGUCCAUGGCCAAGGUAAGAGGCUGCACCCCUUCACAGGGGUCAGCUCUGUUUAAUUUGUAGAAAGGUGUUAGUACGUGCUGGUUCCUGUGUCGGUUUCCUGUGGUAUUCCUGUUUCGAGACAGAAAGCAUGAGGCCCCUAAAGGCAGAGGUUUGAUGGACCAGAUGACCAUCUAGGCUUUCUGAUUCUGUGGAUGCAGGUGAUAAAAGCCUCCAGAGAAAGAAAACAAGGAGAUUUUCAAAUAAUGAAUUCAAAUUGUCACAAUUUUAUCUCCUGGACUAUUCUCAUUUUAACGUGAUCCUGUAUUUUUUAAGUCCAUUUUUACUUUUGUGUCAUA